AACAAUAUUAAAGCAAAGUCGUCGAAGGCAAUCACAAGAGGGAAUUGAAAGUAGCAAUCCCAAGAAGAAAAGCUGACCAAAAAAGAGAAGUUCCUGACCACAAAAGAAAGAAAUAACAUACCAGUACGAUGGAACACAAUAAAGCAAAUCAGCAAAAUUACACCACGAAGUUAAAGAGAACACUCAACAUGGCCAAAGUGUAAGAAGGGACAACAAAGAAUCAUAGUCACAGCAAGCUCAAUUUUCAAGAAAGAAGUGCAACGUCACAUCAACAGAACAAAGUUGAGAAACGAUCAAAUUAGAUAGUCCCAACUUUGACAAGCCCAUCGGCCAAGCUAUUAGCCUCUUUGUUGAUGUAUUUAAAAGUUAACUCACUAGACGUUACCUCACAAGCUUUAAUGCAGUUGGAAAAAUUCUUUGUACUGGUGACGGAUUCAGAAUUUUG
rnacentral:lncRNA from 1 species